AUGCACGUCGUGAUGCUGCCAUGGCUGGCCUUCGGCCACGUGCUCCCGUUCACGGAGUUCGCCAAGCGCGUGGCCCGGCAGGGUCACCGGGUCACCUUCCUCUCUACGCCGAGGAACACCCGCCGGCUCAUCGACAUCCCGCCGGGCCUCGCCGACCUCAUCCGCGUCGUGGACGUCCAGCUGCCGCGGGUCGAGCACCUGCCGGAGCACGCCGAGGCGACCAUCGACCUCCCCUCCGACGACCUCCGCCCGUACAUGCGCCGCGCCUACGACGCCGCCUUCGAGCGCGUGCUCUCGCGGCUGCUCCAGGCGGAGGAGAAGGCGGGAUCGAGACCGGACUGGGUCCUCGUCGACUACGCGUCGUACUGGGCGCCGGCGGCCGCGGCGAGGCAUGGCGUGCCGUGCGCGUUCCUCAGCCUGUUCGGCGCCGCGGCGCUCAGCUUCUUCGGGAGCCCUGAGACGCUCCUCGGCCUCGGGAGGCACGCCAAGACGGAGCCGGCGCACUUGACGGCCGUCCCCGAGUACGUCCCGUUCCCGACCACCGUCGCCUACCGCAGCUACGAGGCGCGCGAGCUGUUCGAACCGGGCAUGGUCCCGGACGACUCCGGCGUGUCGGAGGGCUACCGGUUCGCCAAGACCAUCCAAGGGUGCCGGCUCGUGGGCAUCAGGAGCAGCACGGAGUUUGAGCCUGAGUGGCUGCAGCUGCUCGGCGAGCUCUACGAGAAGCCGGUGAUCCCGGUCGGCCUGUUCCCUCCGGCGCCGCAGCAAGACGUGGCCGGCCACGAGGCGACGGUGCGCUGGCUGGAUGGACAGGCGCCAAACUCCGUCGUGUACGCGGCCUUCGGCAGCGAGGUGAAGCUGACGUGCACGCAACUGCAACGCGUCGCUCUCGGCCUGGAGGCGUCCGGGCUGCCGUUCAUCUGGGCGUUCCGCGCGCCGACCGAUUCCACCUCCGGCAGCCUGCCCGAGGGCUUCGAGGAGCGAGUGGCCGGUCGGGGAGUCGUGUGCCGAGGCUGGGUGCCGCAGGUGAGGUUCCUGGCCCAUGCAUCAGUCGGGCGGUUCCUGACGCACGCCGGCUGGAACUCGAUCGCCGAGGGCCUGGCGCAGGGCGUGAGGCUGGUGCUGCUGCCGCUGGUGUUCGAGCAGGGCCUCAACGCCAGGAACCUGGUGGACAAGAAGAUCGGCGUGGAGGUGGCGCGGGACGAGCAUGACGGGUCGUUCGCGGCCGACGACAUCGCGGCGGCUCUGAGGAUGGUCAUGGUGGAAGACGAAGGCGAGGGGUUCCGGGCCAAGGUGGAGGAGGUGGCCAAAGUGUUUGGGGACGACGAGGUGAAUGAUCAGUGUGUGAGAGAGUUUCUCUUGCACCUGUCGGAGCACAGCAAAAAGAACCAAGGAUAG
rnacentral:rRNA from 1 species